rnacentral:rRNA from 1 species
AUACGGAGGGUGCAAGCGUUAUCCGGAUUUAUUGGGUUUAAAGGGUUCGUAGGCGGGGUAUUAAGUCAGUGGUGAAAGCCUACAGCUCAACUGUAGAAUUGCCAUUGAUACUGGUACUCUUGAGUAUACCUGAAGUUGGCGGAAUGUGUCAUGUAGCGGUGAAAUGCUUAGAUAUGACACAGAACACCGAUUGCGAAGGCAGCUGACUAAAGUAUAACUGACGCUAAUGAACGAAAGCGUGGGGAGCGAACAGGAUUAGAAACCCCGGUAGUCC